UACGUAGGGGGCAAGCGUUGUCCGGAAUCAUUGGGCGUAAAGCGCGCGUAGGCGGCUCGAUCAGUCUGCUGUAAAAGUCAAAGGCUCAACCUUUGAAUGCCGGUGGAUACUGUCGAGCUAGAGUCCGGAAGAGGCGAGUGGAAUUCCUGGUGUAGCGGUGGAAUGCGCAGAUAUCAGGAGGAACACCAACGGCGAAGGCAGCUCGCUGGGACGGUACUGACGCUGAGGCGCGAAAGCGUGGGGAGCGAACAGG
rnacentral:rRNA from 1 species